rnacentral:RNase_P_RNA from 1 species
GGUUUUGAGCAAUCGCGGUUAGCUUUAUGCUAGCUGAGGAAAGUCCACGCCCACACGAGCUGCGAUGCUCGUAGUGUUUGUACUCAGCCCAAUAAGCUGGGGGAUCGUAAGAUCACGGCGGAAAAAGCGCUAAAUCCAUUUUGGACAUGCGUGACUAUCCUGAAAAGUGCCACAGUGACGUAGCAAUAGGAGAAAUCUUAUUGGUGGAACGAGGUAAACCCUGCAAGUGGGCAACCCAAAUUUGGUAGGGGCGUCUUGUCUAUGGAAUUGAACUAAAGACAAGGUCAUUUUAUGAAGAUAGAUGGUUGCUGAAAACAAGAUCAGCCAAGUCUUGUUGGAACAAAACGUGGCUUAUAGAA